CCUACGGGUGGCAGCAGUGGGGAAUAUUGCACAAUGGGGGAAACCCUGAUGCAGCGACGCCGCGUGAGUGAAGAAGUAUUUCGGUAUGUAAAGUUCUGUCAGCAGGGAAGAAAAUGACGGUACCUGACUAAGAAGCCCCGGCUAACUACGUGCCAGCAGCCGCGGUAAUACGUAGGGGGCAAGCGUUAUCCGGAUUUACUGGGUGUAAAGGGAGCGUAGGCGGUGCGGCAAGUCUGAAGUGAAAGCCCGGGGCCCAACCCCGGGACUGCUUUGGAAACUGCUGAACUAGAGUGCAGGAGGGGUAAGCGGAAUUCCUAGUGUAGCGGUGAAAUGCGUAGAUAUUAGGAGGAACACCAGUGGCGAAGGCGGCUUACUGGACUGUAACUGACGUUGAGGCUCGAAAGCGUGGGGAGCAAACAGGAUUAGAUACCCCAGUAGUC
rnacentral:rRNA from 1 species